ensembl:lncRNA
CGGUGUCAUCUCCAGCUUGUAGACAGAGUCUAUCUAUAAGAGGAAAAGAAUUUACCAAACAUUCAAAGAGAAAGCAAAGUAGGCAGAGAAGGAGAUAAUCAGAGAAAAAAUAUCCUAGUGGUAUUAAGUCCUGAAUUCUGAUCCCUGGGGCUCAAAUUCUUACAGAUCUUCUAGGACUUUUGUGAGCUACUCUAGUCAUAUCCUUAGUAUCUCUGUACAAAGCAAUAUAUUCUUCACUUACAUUGAGAGUUUGAGUUAUCACCUGUCUUCAAAGGAAUAAAAUGUUAGCCAAAAUUGUGAUAGCAGAUGAGGUGGUGUGUGUACAGUAAGAAUAAGGUAAGGAUAGGAUACCAGGAACCCUAGGGAGGAAGAGCCCAAGAAAGAUCUCUAAGAGAAGUGGGACUGUACAGAAGACAGGGCUUUCCUGACCACCUCAAGAGGAACAGUAACAGCAACCUGUAUUGGGUUGAAUGAUGGCACUCCAAAAGGUUGUUGGUUGCAGAGUGCAGUGUCUGGAUAUCAACUGGUCUCCUUCUCACUUGGAAACAUCAUCCCGGAAGUCCAAGCAAGGUUCCCAGACAACUGUCUCAGUGGUCUCAGCACUUACUUCUCUGAUGGAGGAGCAUCAUUCUUGAACUGCUAUUGUGAGUAAUGUGGAAUCAUGGGAGGAUUAUAAUCAUAUCUGCAUUUUAGAAAGAUAACCCUAUUAACAGGCUAUAUGGAAAUAUAUUUAAAACUCUUUUACUAUUAUGGUUGGGUAUUAACUUUGAAGUAGUGGGCAGUUUUUAUUCUAUAUUAUUUUCUUAAUCUUUUCAUCCAUCUCUCAUCUUGUUCCUUUGAGCAAGGUUAGUCUUUGCUCCUUGCUUCGGAGAAGGGGAAGUCCACAGAGAACAGAGAUACAUUGACACAUUUUCCCUGCUUUUGAGUUUCUAAAGCCUUGUUGCUGAAGGAAGGACUCUGACUUAUACUGGAGAUUUAGAAGAGAAUCCAUGAUGCUCCACUUGGAGUUGCCUCUCCAGUCUCUGGAAGGAGGACUGGAGCAUUUCACCAAGGCAGGAAAAAUGCAUUGAUGAGAGGCGAACUGGGAUCCUUGAAGAACUCUGAAAUGACUCCUCUGAAGGUGGGAGAUGGCAGUGAUGCUGCUGCAGAGGAACUGGUUUCCCUAGUUUUAAGAGGAGUAGUAGAGACCAGCCUAUCUUUUUCAGUCUAACUUUCGUGGCCCUGGCUGAAGAACCUAGGAUGCAGAGAGAAAAGGUGUUUUUUUCUUCUAUACUAUCCAUACACCAAGAGCAAGGAGCUGACAGUGCAGAUACAUGAGUAAUACAGCUACAGACAGUGACAGCCAAGAGAAAUGGCCCCUCAUGGGUCAACCUACGUUUCUGUGGCUGUGCUCUGUUGUUUAAAUACGGACAUUUGUAGUACCCAGGAUUGAGCACAUAACUGCCUUGGUGGAAACUCGGAAUGAUUCUGACCUCUCUGGUUUUGCCCUAUGCGGUGGGGACUAUGCAGCAAUGAGAGAAAAGUAGCUAACACAGAAUUUGGUACCAGAGAAGUGAGGUUGUUGCUGUGACAUUACCUGGCCAUGUGGCUCAAGAGCCUUUGGAACUGACUUUUGGGAAGGGGAAGAGUUAGAAAAAAUUCAGAGAUGCUGGCUGAAAAAGUAGAGCUUGAACAUCUUAGGCUGUACUGUAUGGGAGACUCUGGUCAGAGCUCAGAAGACCAGAAAGCAGUAAAGACCAGGUGCACUAGUUUUCUGCCGGGAAGAAGGACUGCACUGGCUGUUGGACUCCAGAUGAUGUGUCUUACACCUUGGCAGAAAGUUUGUUUACAUUUUGUUUGUGUCCAGAGACUUUGCCUGAGACUGAGAUUAGGGGUAGCAGACUAACUUAUCUGGCAGAAGAAAUUUUAAGGCAGUCUAAUGUUGAGAUAGUGGCAUGGCUACUAUUGGGGGAUUUUAGCCUGAUUUAUGGUGAGCAAAGGGCCCAGCAGAAUGAUUUAAAAUGUUUUGAGUUUGGCUAGAAAGGAAGCUCCAGUAAGGUUGCAGCCUGAAAAGAUAGAGCAGAGGAGAUCUUGAUUGCUGAGAAGGAACAGAGUAGAAAUGAUGGCCUGAAGGCAUUACAAGAAGCAGCAGGACUCCAGCCUUUGCAGCCUCAAAAUUGUAAUCGAAGACUUUUCUUUGAGAAGAGAGCAAUUUGAUUCAUAGGCACCCUACAGCCAAGAGAG